GGACUACACGGGUUUCUAAUCCUGUUUGCUCCCCACGCUUUCGUAGUUGAGUGUCAGUGCUUGUCCAGCUAGCCGCCUUCGCCUCUGGUGUUCCUCCCGAUCUCUACGCAUUUCACCGCUACACCGGGAAUUCCGCUAGCCUCUCCAAGACUCCAGUCUUACCGUUUGCGGGGCACUUCUUGAGUUAAGCCCAAGGCUUUCACCCCACACAAAUAAGACCACCUACCUACCCUUUACGCCCAAUAAUUCCGAGCAACGCUUGCACCCUCCGUAUUACCGCGGCUGCUGGCAC
rnacentral:rRNA from 1 species